GGGUUGUGAGGUUAAGCGACUAAGCGUACACGGUGGAUGCCCUGGCAGUCAGAGGCGAUGAAGGACGUGCUAAUCUGCGAUAAGCGUCGGUAAGGUGAUAUGAACCGUUAUAACCGGCGAUUUCCGAAUGGGGAAACCCAGUGUGUUUCGACACACUAUCAUUAACUGAAUCCAUAGGUUAAUGAGGCGAACCGGGGGAACUGAAACAUCUAAGUACCCCGAGGAAAAGAAAUCAACCGAGAUUCCCCCAGUAGCGGCGAGCGAACGGGGAGGAGCCCAGAGCCUGAAUCAGUGUGUGUGUUAGUGGAAGCGUCUGGAAAGGCGCGCGAUACAGGGUGACAGCCCCGUACACAAAAAUGCACAUACUGUGAGCUCGAUGAGUAGGGCGGGACACGUGGUAUC
rnacentral:rRNA from 1 species